GAGUUUGAUCGUGGCUCAGGACGAACGCUGGCGGCGUGCCUAACACAUGCAAGUCGAACGGGACCGCAAGGUUCAGUGGCGGACGGGUGCGUAACACGUGAGGAACAUGUCCAUCGGUGGGGGAUAGCCGGCCCAACGGCCGGGUAAUACCGCGUACGACCCGUUGGUGGCAUCACCGGGGGGUGAAAGCAGCAAUGCGCCGAUGGGGUGCCUCGCGGCCUAUCAGCUAGUUGGUGAGGUAACGGCUCACCAAGGCGACGACGGGUAGCUGGUCCGAGAGGAUGACCAGCCACAUUGGGACUGAGACACGGCCCAGACUCCUACGGGAGGCAGCAGUGGGGAAUAUUGCGCAAUGGGCGAAAGCCUGACGCAGCGACGCCGCGUGUGGGAUGAAGGUCUUCGGAUUGUAAACCACUGUCGGGAGGGACGAAGCUCUGACGGUACCUCCAAAGGAAGCACCGGCUAACUCUGUGCCAGCAGCCGCGGUAAC
rnacentral:rRNA from 1 species